UCCCUUGUAGCUCAGUCUGUAGAGAAUCUGCCUGCAAUGCAGGAGACCUGUGUUCGACUUCUCAGUUGGGAAG
rnacentral:tRNA from 1 species